UCUCAGUAACUGCUCGAGUAGGUUCCAAAGCCGUCCUGCCCUGUGAAUCGAAUAAUGUGUCCAGCCAGACAUGUGGUGUUAAGUGGCGCACCAAAACUAAGGUUGUGUUUGAGCGAUUGGAUAAGGAUAUUUAUGAAGAUGUGGAAUAUAAGGGUCGUGUGGAUGUUCCUGAGGAUGAACUGCUUCAAGGAAACUGUGCCUUAGUGUUGAAGCACAUCAGACUCACUGAUGCAAACGUCUACUACAGCCUCCUUUUGAAGAGAAAGAAAAAGAGAACUCUUGGUGUUUUAAUCAACAGUGUUGAACUCAUAGUCGACGACAAACUAGAAGAGAGGUCAGAUAAAAAAUCCACUUCCUCAGGCAACACCUUACUGAAAGGUCCUUACACAUUAAUUGUGUUCUUGUCACUCCUUUCCUGGUUACUCUUUGACCUUUUCUAAGAGAAAACGUCAGCGCCAGCUCUGACUUCCUCAUAUGGUACCUCAUGAUGA